rnacentral:misc_RNA from 1 species
AGAAUCUGGGGAGGACGUGGUAGAGGAUUAGCGCUACUUGUUCUUGGGAAGUGAGGCUGUUCAGGGUUCCCGGCUUGAGGGUGGAGAAGGCAUUGUCGGUGGGGGCCAAGAUGGUGAGGCCGUCGAAGGAGUUGUUGAGUUGGUUUGUGAUUUGGUUCCCGACUUGUGUCUCUUUGAGGAGGCGGAUUAAGGUGGUAUACUGGCUGGCUUU